AAAGGAGUAGGGUUUAUAAUUUGAUCUUAGGUAAUAUCACUAUCAUUUCACCGCCUUCCAUGUUUUUCUUUAGAAUCGCAACUUUGAGUUGCUUUUAUUGUAAGUGAUUAACACCAUUCCUUGGUUGAUCUAGCUUGAUAUUUUUUCCAGCUUGCAAGAUUGGUUUCUUCGUUAUAAGGGUGUACUCAAUGAUUUUUGGUUUUAACAAGCUAGGUCACAUACACUAAAGCUUGAUGUUGCAUCCAGGAAUGGAAUUUGAUGAAAAUGGAGCUUGAUUGAGCAUCAACACCAAGUCUGUAGAUGAUUUAAGGAAUCCGGAACAACAUCAUAAGAAAAAUAAGCUUAAAAGGAGUACAACCACAUUUAUGAAGCAUGGGACAAGGACCGAGAGAUGAAGAGUGCAUCUUGGACUUAAAAUGCAGAAUUUAACACUGGAGCGUGCCCUGCCCAAAGUGCUCCACAAUAAGGGCAUGGCGCAUUGGAGUGUUAAAAACAUGAAUUUUGACCCAACUAUAAAUAGGACACUUGUAUUAUUUUGAGGAAGCUUUUGUACACAUUUAAGCAAGGAGAAAAACAUUCGAGGGAUAUCAAUUAGGGUUAUUUUCCCAUUCAAAUAUUCUACUUCUAUUUUGGUAUGAACGCUUUGAUAUCUUGGAUGUUAAUAACGAACAUGAGUGGCUAAUUACCCUUGUUCUAGGGUUAUGGUCAGAAAAUAAUUGUUUGGUAUUAAUUUAAAUUAGUGAAGUUUAUUUCUCAUUA